rnacentral:rRNA from 1 species
GACAGAGGGUGCAAACGUUGUUCGGAAUUACUGGGCGUAAAGCGUGCGCAGGCGGUUCGCCAAGUCAGGUGUGAAAUCCCCGGGCUUAACCUGGGAAUUGCGCUUGAAACUAGCGGGCUUGAGUGUGGCAGAGGGGGGUGGAAUUCCACGUGUAGCAGUGAAAUGCGUAGAGAUGUGGAGGAACACCGAUGGCGAAGGCAGCCCCCUGGGUCAACACUGACGCUCAUGCACGAAAGCGUGGGGAGCAAACAGG